GUGGCGAACGGGUGAGUACACGUAAGCAACCUGCCCUUAAGACGAGAAUAACAAUUGGAAACAGUUGCUAAGGCUGGAUAGGAAAUAAAAAGGCAUCUUUUUAUUUUUAAAAGACCUUUUUCGGAAGGUAUGCUUAAAGAGGGGCUUGCGUCACAUUAGUUAGUUGGUAGGGUAAAGGCCUACCAAGACGAUGAUGUGUAGCUGGACUGAGAGGUUGAACAGCCACAUUGGGACUGAGACACGGCCCAAACUCCUACGGGAGGCAGCAGUAGGGAAUUUUCGGCAAUGGAGGAAACUCUGACCGAGCAACGCCGCGUGAACGACGAAGUACUUCGGUAUGUAAAGUUCUUUUAUUGAAGAAGAAACAAUAGUGGAAAAACUAUCUUGACGUUAUUCAAUGAAUAAGCCCCGGCUAACUAUGUGCCAGCAGCCGCGGUAAUACAUAGGGGGCGAGCGUUAUCCGGAAUUAUUGGGCGUAAAGGGUGCGUAGGCGGUUUAAUAAGUCUCUAGUUUAAUUUCAACGCUUAACGUUGUCCUGCUAGAGAAACUGUUUAACUAGAGUGAGAUAGAGGUAAGCGGAAUUCCAUGUGUAGCGGUAAAAUGUGUAAAUAUAUGGAGGAACACCAGAGGCGUAGGCGGCUUACUGGGUCUUUACUGACGCUGAUGCACGAAAGCGUGGGGAGCAAACAGGAUUAGAUACCCUGGUAGUCCACGCCGUAAACUAUGAGUACUAAGUGUCGGGGUUAAACUCGGUACUGAAGUUAACACAUUAAGUACUCCGCCUGAGUAGUACGUACGCAAGUAUGAAACUUAAAGGAAUUGACGGGAUCCCGCACAAGCGGUGGAUCAUGUUGUUUAUUCGAAGAUACACGAAAAACCUUACCAGGUCUUGACAUACUCUGCAAAGCUAUAGAAAUAUAGUGGAGGUUAUCAGGGAUACAGGUGGUGCAUGGUUGUCGUCAGCUCGUGUCGUGAGAUGUUAGGUUAAGUUCUAAAACGAGCGCAACCCCUGUCGUUAAUUGCCAGCACGUUAUGGUGGGGACUUUAGCGAGACUGCCAAUGAAAAAUUGGAGGAAGGUGGGGAUUACGUCAAAUCAUCAUGCCCCUUAUGAUCUGGGCUACAAACGUGAUACAAUGGCUAUUACAAAGAGUAGCUGAAACGCGAGUUUUUGGCAAAUCUCAAAAAAAUAGUCUCAGUUCGGAUUGAAGUCUACAGCUCGACUUCAUGAAGUUGGAAUCGCUAGUAAUCGCGAAUCAGCAUGUCGCGGUGAAUACGUUCUCGGGGUUUGUACACACCGCCCGUCAAACCACGAAAGUGGACAAUACCCGAA
rnacentral:rRNA from 1 species